UACGUAGGGGGCGAGCGUUGUCCGGAAUGACUGGGCGUAAAGCGCGCGCAGGCGGUUCUUCGCGUCCGGGGUGAAAGGCUGGGGCUCAACCCUGGCAUUGCCUUGGAAACGGGAGGACUUGAGGACUGGAGAGGCAAGGGGAAUUCCACGUGUAGCGGUGAAAUGCGUAGAGAUGUGGAGGAAUACCAGUGGCGAAGGCGCCUUGCUGGACAGAACCUGACGCUGAGGCGCGAAGGCGUGGGGAGCAAACAGG
rnacentral:rRNA from 1 species